UGGCCACAUGCAGGGAGUAUUGUCAGCCAGGGAAGUCCAGGCAGGUCCUUGGUGUCCACAGUUUGUAUUGAGGCCCAAGCCCAUAUUGCCUGCAUGGCUGACUGUUAUGGUUAAUACUGAGUGUCAACUUGAUUGGAUUAAAGGAUGCGAAGUAUUGUUCCUGGGCGUGUCUGUGUGGGUGUUGCCAAAGGAGAUUACCAUUUGAGUCAGUGAACUAGGAAAGGCAGACCUACCUUGUAUCUGAAUAGGCACAAUCUAAUCAGCUGCCAGUACGGCCACAAUAAAAGCAGGCAGGAAAAUGUGGAAAGACUAGACUGGUUUAGUCUUCUGGCUUAUAUCUUUCUGCCAUGUUGGAUGCUUGCUGCCCUCGAACAUCAGACUCCCAGUUCUUCAGCUUUGGGACUCGGACUGGCUUUGUUGCUCCUCAGCUUUCAGACGGCUUAUUGUGGGACCUCACCUUGUGAUCAUCCUACUCGACCUGAGGGCAAAGAAGAUGAAGACCUUUGUGAUGAUCCACUUCCACUUAAUGAAUAGUAAAUGUAUGUUCUCUUCCUUACGAUUUUCUUAAGAAAAUUUGCCUUUCUCUAGCUUACUUUAUUGUAGAGAUACAGCAUGUAAUACAUAUAACACACAAAAUAUGUAUUAAUAGACUGUUUAUAUUAUCAGUAAGGCUUUUUGUCAACAGGAAGCUAUUAGUAGUUUGGAGAGUCCAAAGUUAUGCCUGGAUUUUUUACUGUACAGGGGAUUGGCGCCCCACGCCCCCAUGCUGUUCAAGAGUCAACUGCAGAUUGUACCUUUCCAGCUACUGGAAGAGCUAUAGAAGCAAGAAGGCAGGUGAAUGUGUCACUCACUACCCUCCCCCAGGCUCUCAUCCAGAGAAAGGGAGAUGGAUAGAUAAAUCAUUAUUUCAUAAGUAGGCUAUCAUUGAAGUUCUCAUUCUACAAGUUACUUCAGAAAGUAUUUUAAAAUCUCUUUGUAUUUGAUUUGGGUUUUUUUCCCAUCUUAUCCCUUUUUAGUUAAUUUCUAAUUUUAUUGCAAAGUGAUAAGAAAUUAUGGCUUAUACUAUUUUUCUUUGGACUUUUUUGAGAAUUCCUUUGACGUUUAGAAUGUGACAAGAUAUUUCCAAGUGCUAUUUGCUGUUUAUGACCUUCAUCCAAUGUUUAUAUACUUUAUUGCAUUUUUAAAUUCACAAUCACAUUUUUUAGUAAAAAAAAUUUGAUCUCAUAUUAGUUCACUUUCCCUAUUUUGUUCUAUUUUUGUAUUUUUGUUUUAAUUUUUAUAAGCUUAUUAUUAAAGUUAUAAAGAUAAAUUAAUGUCUUUGGUGUUUUUCUUUUCCAUCAAAAGUCAAAUAAUGUAUUCAAAAUGAAAAAUAUUCUCAUAUAUUUUUAUCAAAAUUGCUUCAUUUGCUCCUCAUCAUGGUCUUAUAAGCUAGAUAGG
rnacentral:lncRNA from 10 species